rnacentral:rRNA from 1 species
AGGCGUCGAGUGGCGGACGGGUGAGUAAUGCAUAGGAAUCUGCCCAGUAGCGGGGGACAACUUGGGGAAACUCAAGCUAAUACCGCAUACGCCCUACGGGGGAAAGCGGGGGACCUUCGGGCCUCGCACUAUUGGAUGAGCCUAUGUCUGAUUAGCUUGUUGGUGGGGUAAUGGCCUACCAAGGCAACGAUCAGUAGCUGGUCUGAGAGGACGAUCAGCCACACUGGGACUGAGACACGGCCCAGACUCCUACGGGAGGCAGCAGUGGGGAAUAUUGCACAAUGGGCGAAAGCCUGAUGCAGCAAUGCCGCGUGUGUGAAGAAGGCCUGCGGGUUGUAAAGCACUUUCAGUAGGGAGGAAAUGGCAUAAGGUUAAUAACCUUUUGUCUUGACGUUACCUACAGAAGAAGCACCGGCUAACUCUGUGCCAGCAGCCGCGGUAAUACAGAGGGUGCAAGCGUUAAUCGGAAUUACUGGGCGUAAAGCGCGCGUAGG